UAGUUAAUCUUUGAACACCACCUGCAUCCA
rnacentral:piRNA from 1 species